rnacentral:rRNA from 1 species
CAGUUGUUCCGCCAGGAGCACCGCUGGGUAGCUAUGUACGGAAGGGAUAAGCGCUGAAAGCAUCUAAGCGUGAAGCCCCCCUCAAGAUGAGAUUUCCCAAUUAGUAAGACCCCUUGAAGACGACGAGGUAGAUAGGUUGGGGGUGGAAGUGCAGUAAUGCAUGGAGCUGACCAAUACUAAUCGGUCGAGGGCUUAUCCUAAA